AUUGAACGCUGGCGGCAUGCCUUACACAUGCAAGUAGAACGGCAGCACGGACUUCGGUCUGGUGGCGAGUGGCGAACGGGUGAGUAAUGUAUCGGAACGUACCUUUCAGUGGGGGAUAACGUAGCGAAAGUUACGCUAAUACCGCAUAUUCUGUGAGUAGGAAAGCAGGGGAUCGCAAGACCUUGCGCUGCUUGAGCUGCCGAUAUCAGAGUAGCUAGUUGGUGGGGUAAAGGCCUACCAAGGCGACGAUCUGUAGCGGGUCUGAGAGGAUGAGCCGCCACACUGGAACUGAGACACGGUCCAGACUCCUACGGGAGGCAGCAGUGGGGAAUUUUGGACAAUGGGGGCAACCCUGAUCCAGCCAUGCCGCGUGAGUGAAGAAGGCCUUCGGGUUGUAAAGCUCUUUCGGCCGGGAAGAAGUCGCAUGGGCUAAUACCCUGUGUGGAUGACGGUACCGGAAUAAGAAGCACCGGCUAACUACGUGCCAGCAGCCGCAGUAACAC
rnacentral:rRNA from 1 species